rnacentral:rRNA from 1 species
UACGUAGGGCGCAAGCGUUUAUCCGGAAUUACUGGGCGUAAAGCGUGCGUAGACGGUUAUUUAAGUCAGGUGUGAAAGCCCCGGGCUCAACCUGGGAAUUGCAUUUGAGACUGAAUAGCUAGGGUGCGGAAGAGGGAAGCGGAAUUUCCGGUGUAGCGGUGAAAUGCGUAGAUAUCGGAAGGAACACCAGUGGCGAAAGCGGCUUCCUGGUCCAGCACCGACGUUCAGGCACGAAAGCGUGGGGAGCAAACAGGG